rnacentral:rRNA from 1 species
UACGUAGGGGGCUAGCGUUGUCCGGAAUCAUUGGGCGUAAAGCGUGCGUAGGCGGUUUGUUAAGUCUGUUGUGAAAUCCCCGGGCUCAACCUGGGAAUGGCAAUGGAUACUGGCAAGCUAGAGUGUGUCAGAGGAUGGUGGAAUUCCCGGUGUAGCGGUGAAAUGCGUAGAGAUCGGGAGGAACAUCAGUGGCGAAGGCGGCCAUCUGGGACAACACUGACGCUGAGGCGCGAAAGCUAGGGGAGCAAACGGG